rnacentral:rRNA from 1 species
UACGGAGGGUGCUAGCGUUGUUCGGAAUUACUGGGCGUAAAGCGCACGUAGGCGGCUUUGCAAGUUAGAGGUGAAAGCCCGGGGCUCAACUCCGGAAUUGCCUUUAAAACUGCAUCGCUAGAAUUGUGGAGAGGUAAGUGGAAUUCCGAGUGUAGAGGUGAAAUUCGUAGAUAUUCGGAAGAACACCAGUGGCGAAGGCGACUUACUGGACACAUAUUGACGCUGAGGUGCGAAAGCGUGGGGAGCAAGCAGG